rnacentral:rRNA from 2 species
CAAGGAAUCUUCCGCAAUGGGCGAAAGCCUGACGGAGCAACGCCGCGUGUGGGAUGACGCCUUUCGGGGUGUAAACCACUUUUCUCAGGGAAGAAGCACUGACGGUACCUGAGGAAGAAGGACCGGCUAACUACGUGCCAGCAGCCGCGGUAAUACGUAGGGUCCGAGCGUUGUCCGGAGUUACUGGGCGUAAAGCGCGCGCAGGCGGCGGUGUAAGCAUGGCGUGAAAGCCCCAGGCUCAACCUGGGAGGGUCGUCGUGGACUGCACCGCUUGAGGGCGGUAGGGGCUGGUGGAAUGCCUGGUGUAGUGGUGAAAUGCGUAGAGAUCAGGCGGAACACCCGUGGCGAAGGCGGCCAGCUGGGCCGUCCCUGACGCUGAGGCGCGAAGGCGUGGGGAGCGAACGGG